rnacentral:rRNA from 1 species
UACAGAGACGUCGAGCGUUGUUCGGAUUCAUUGGGCGUAAAGGGUGCGUAGGCGGUGAGGUAAGUCGGAUGUGAAAUCCCAAGGCUUAACCUUGGAAGUGCAUCCGAAACUACCUCGCUUGAGGACUGGAAGGGAGACUGGAAUUCUCGGUGUAGCGGUGAAAUGCGUAGAUAUCGAGAGGAACACCUGUGGCGAAGGCGGGUCUCUGGGCAAUAACUGACGCUGAGGAGCGAAAGCGUGGGAGCGAACAGG